UACGUAGGGUGCAAGCGUUGUCCGGAAUUAUUGGGCGUAAAGAGCUCGUAGGCGGUUCGUCGCGUCGGCUGUGAAAACCCGGAGCUCAACUCCGGGCCUGCAGUCGAUACGAGCAAACUAGAGUGUUGCAGGGGAGACUGGAAUUCCUGGUGUAGAGGUGAAAUGCGCAGAUAUCAGGAGGAACACCGGUGGCGAAGGCGGGUCUCUGGGCAGCAACUGACGCUGAGGAGCGAAAGCGUGGGGAGCGAACAGG
rnacentral:rRNA from 1 species